rnacentral:rRNA from 1 species
CCUACGGGUGGCAGCAGUGAGGAAUAUUGGUCAAUGGACGAGAGUCUGAACCAGCCAAGUAGCGUGAAGGAUGACUGCCCUACGGGUUGUAAACUUCUUUUAUAUGGGAAUAAAAUGUUCCUCGUGUGGGUUUUUGUAUGUACCAUAUGAAUAAGGAUCGGCUAACUCCGUGCCAGCAGCCGCGGUAAUACGGAGGAUCCGAGCGUUAUCCGGAUUUAUUGGGUUUAAAGGGAGCGUAGGUGGCUUGUUAAGUCAGUUGUGAAAGUUUGCGGCUCAACCGUAGAAUUGCAGUUGAAACUGGCGGUCUUGAGUACAGUAGAGGUGGGCGGAAUGCGUGGUGUAGCGGUGAAAUGCUUAGAUAUCACGAAGAACUCCGAUUGCGAAGGCAGCUCACUGGACUGCAACUGACACUGAGGCUCGAAAGUGUGGGUAUCAAACAGGAUUAGAUACCCCUGUAGUC